CUUGAUACUGACGUUAUGAAUACAAAAAAUUUCAUUCCGCUAAAUUAAUUUCGGGGAGAAGGGUGGGUUGCAUAUGGAUGUACAAAACUAAAAAUAUAUAUCCUCUUCCCGCUACAACAUGGUAAAAUUCAUAUUACAAUUUAACCAAACAUUAUUAUCACUACUGUACCGAGUUUGAGAUAAUUUGAUCCAGAAAGAGCUAGAGAAAUGUCAAAAUUAGUGG